UGCCACGUAUCGGCGAAGGUUGGGAC
rnacentral:piRNA from 1 species